CUCUAGCACGGGUGGGGUUGAGAGUGUAAGGAUGGCUAGACAGGUUGUGGUGGUAGGUGACUAUUAUUGAGAGUAGAUGAGGUAAUCUGCCACUCUGAUCGUCUUAACCGGACAGUUUGCUGUCUCCCGGGUGGUUGGGUCCGGCGUGUUGCCGAAUGAGUGGAGGGAUUAUUGGUUGGGGCUGGAGAUAACCCAGCUGUCAUGGUCCAUAUUGGUACCAAUGACAAAGUCAGAGGAAAAUGGAAGGUCCUAAAGAAUGAGUUCAGGGAACUAGGAAGUAAGCUAAAGAAAAGGACCUCCAAGGUAAUUUUUUCAGAAAUAUUACCUGUGCCGCAU